CUCAUUUUGUUUUUCAUUUUUUAUUUUUUGUUUUUUUUCUUGCUUUCCUGAAUUCUAAGGUGAGAUUCGUUUGGUGAAGGAGGAUUUGGUAUUGUUGAGUAGAGAUUUGCUGUUCCUUCUUCUUCAGAGCAUCGAAUCCGUGAGAUCUACAACGGAAAGUUGGUUAGAAAUUAUUUGUUUUGCAUUUAUUAUUGUCGUUUUGGAGCGAGAUGGUUACCGAAUCGUGGUUUAGUAGUUUGUGGAGGACGUCGAGGAAGACUGCAUCAGAACCUCAAAAGGCUGUAAUUGGGGUAUUGACAUUUGAAGUUGCAAGCUUGAUGUCAAAGGUGGUUCAUCUAUGGCAGUGUUUAAGCGAUAAGCAUAUUGUUGGGCUGAGGGACGAGAUUAUGAAUUCGGUUGGGGUUAGGAAGCUGGUGUCGGAUGAUGACGAAUAUCUUGUUGAGUUGGUCUGUGUAGAAAUAGUUCAUAAUUUGGGAUUCCUAGCUAGAUCUGUUGCCAGGCUUGGAAAGAAGUGUACUGACCCUGUCUUGCAGCGCUUUGAGAAUGUCUUUGAUGACCUGGUCAAGAAUGAUGCUGAUAUUUAUGGCUGGGAAUUCACGUUGAAGAAGAUGGAGAGGAAGGUUAAGAAAAUGGAGAAGUUCAUUGCACUUGGCUCAAAUUUAUAUCAGGAGCUGGAAGUUCUUGCUGAACUGGAACAGACCCUGAGGAGAAUGCAGGCCAGUGAGGAGCCUAAUAAGUUGAACUUGCUUGAGUUUCAACAGAAGGUUGGGUGGCAGCGGCAGGAAGUGAAGACUCUUAGAGAGAUUUCUCUCUGGAACAGGACCUAUGAUUACACUGUUCGCCUUCUUGCAAGGUCACUUUUCACGAUAUAUGGGAGGAUCAAAUGUGUCUUUGAUAUUAAUCAGACAGUAGCAGUGGAUGGAAUUAAUCGCCCCAAACUUGGAAAUACUGAUAGUCUUUCUCGCAGCCACUCCAUUGCUGCCUUGUUGCAAUCAUCAGUUCACCCAUCAGAGAUUAAUAAAGCCAGAUUUGCUUCAGGUCCUCUACAUAAGCUAAUUACUAAAUCAGGGCCUAUUUAUGGCAUAAAUAAGUCAAACAACCGGCAACAGCAAGCUGUUGAUCAUUCAUCUAACCUUAAUCACAAGAUCACACACCAGAAAACAAGGAGGUUGGCUCCUGUGGGACCAUUUAAGGGAUGCAUGAUGGCUGGAAAUGUUUCUCCUGUGGUGCAAAGCUGCAGACCUGUAAAUAGUGGCUACCUAAGGUCAAAUGGUGUUCAUUCAGGACUUCUUACCAGAACGAAUGCUACUGAUGGAGAACUGCCUAGUCAUGGAAAUACACUUCACUGUUAUCUGACCCUCUUCAGUUCUAAGCAUAGCUCAUUAAAUGCUCCUCCAUCAACUCUUGGUGCCUCUGCAUUAGCACUCCAUUAUGCCAAUAUUGUUAUUGUAAUUGAGAAGCUUGUGGCUUCUCCUCAUUUGAUUGGUCCUGAUGCCAGAGAUGAUCUUUACAAUAUGUUACCAACAUGUAUAAGAGCAGCCUUAAGGUCAAGGCUAAAGUCAUAUGCUAAGAGCUUGGCUUCUUUUUGUGAUGGUGUUCUUGCAGAAGAGUGGAAGGACGCAUUGGCAAGGAUUUUAGAAUGGUUGGCUCCACUUGCUCAUAACAUGAUAAGAUGGCAAUCUGAACGAAAUUUCGAGCAGCAGCACUUAGUUUCCAGGGCAAAUGUUCUUUUGGUACAGACACUCUACUUUGCAAACCAGGCAAAGACAGAAGCCGCGAUUACAGAGCUUCUUGUAGGUCUGAAUUACAUUUGGAGAUAUGGAAGGGAACUUAAUGCAAAAGCUUUACUGGAGUGUGCUAGCAGCCGAACCUUUGAUGAUUAUUUAGAUCUGAAGGGAUAACAAUAUUUCAGCCCUAGCCUUCGGUUGGUUUCCAACAUAUUUCUGGGUGCCUCAUAAGAUGACAAGUUAGUUAUUUCACAAAUUCUGUUUGGAUAGAAAUCUUAGCAACAUUUGGUCUGUGAAGAGGUACUCUGUCUUUGGAUGCUGUUUGGCAAGUACUGAUUUUUUGCUGGGAUGAGUACGGAGCAAAAUUCUUGAUUCUUCUGGAUGCCUUAGCAUCAAGAAGUCAUUCGUCCAGCAGUUAAGAGAUGGCAUGGAUGAUGGAGAAUAUUUGAAAAUCUUGAGCUGUAUCCAAAAAGAUGGUGUUGCCUUGCAGUUGUGUUUUGGGAAAGGUUCGAAAUUUUGAUAUUGGGCUGUAUCGGCCAGUAAGUAUUAUAUCAGGGGCUUUCUGGUACAGUGUUUUGGGGUUUAACCCGGUUUAGGGGUAUACAAGCCUUAAACCGAUCCUUCUGAAUCAGGUUUUAAAAAAACUAAAAAAAAAAAAGAGAGAGAGAGAAAUGAGCUUCGAUACAGGCCAAUACGUCCCUACCAGCAUAUCGAUUGUAUCGAUAUUUUGAACCUUAGUUUUGGGUUUAUCAAUACAAUUUUGUGAGAAAAAUGCAUUGCCAUGUCAUAUAUGAAUGCCAUUUCAACUAGAAAAAUGCAUUCAUUAAAAACAUCGAAGUUUACUUUUGGAUAGAAAUAGCAAACAAUUAAGUCAAAACAUUUGAGUAAAAAAAUCUCUCACACAAAUUUGUAUUGAUCAACCCAAGUCCCAAAAUGCAAUCACGAUGCAAUGCCACUGUACCAAACACCUCCAAAGUUUAUAGUUUCUGUCAUACACGAUGAGCCUUCUUAUUUGUACCAUUUUACAUGUAAAAUGAAGAGAUUCCCAUGGAUUAUGCAAGUA